UAUGAUAGUGCCAUGGUUAUGAGAAGGGUCUGUAGCAGACUGGCUUUGUUUGAACCUGGUUCUACUCACUUUAGCUGAUUAAAUUUGGUCAAGCAAGAUACUCUAUCUGUAGCUCAGUUUGUUCAUCUGUAUUUUACAGAUGAAGAAAAAUAGGUCCUACUUCAUGGUGUUGUUGUGAGAAACAAAUGAGUCCAUGCAUGUAAAGUGGUUAGAAGAGUGACUAGCCCAUAAUAUUAAUAGUAACUUAAGAUUAUGUUUAUGCUUUUCAUGAUUGGACUAUUAGUUUAUUCUAAAACUUAAAAAGUAAUAAAUUGCGUUUACUUAAAUGAGACUAAGUAAAUUUCUUUAUAGCAGUGCCAAAUGGUGUGCUCAUAUUUAGUAUCUUUAUCUGCAGAUCCAUUGUCAUGACUUCUGAGCUGUUUGAAAGAGAAUGUUCUCAGAAUCAAGCCAUUUGGAAUGGACAGAAUGAAACAGAAGUCAAAGAGCUGUCUACACGUCCUUCCCAAGCUAUAAUUAAGAUGGAAGCUCAUUUGCCAUUCUGAGGAUUGGUGCAAUCAAGCAUAUGACAGCAAGAUUUUGGAACAUUUUUAUCAGUUUUGGAACCACAGCUCCUCCAUGGCCAAAUUUCUCUUUAUGUCUCAGGUUUCAGAGCAUGGCCUAAUAUUUCCCGUACAGACAGGCCGCUCCGCUGCCCUUCUGAUUCAGCUGACCACUGUGCACUGUAGCGACGUGCAAGGGGUAGGAGUGGACACAUUCCAGCUCGCUGGGGUUUGGAACGGCACCUCUCAUUCCCAGAGAAGGGAUUCUCUGUGGAGGCUGAGUUGGCAGUGCUCAAGCUUGCCUUGCGGUUGGCACGUAGGCCAUCAGCAAUCAUCUGAGUAUCAACCUGCCAAGCUGAGGCCGUCCUGGGGCACAGAGAUUUAUUGCUAACAGAGGAAAGAAAAGAAACCAUUUCCUUAAUUCUGCUUUGCAGGCCACUCUCAUGGAAAGGAACUCCCCUGCUGCCCUGAUCAGUUCAAUAUCUAACUCAUCAUGCCUGUGUUCUUCCCCAGCAGCUCAGGCCGGUCUGCUACCAGGAACAGGUGCCAAAUCAGAGUGUGGAAUUUUCCCAGCAGGCCCCAGGGUGUGUUGCUGCCAAGGCAACUGUGGUAGGGUUGGGGAAUAACUAGCGAACCACAAAUCCAGAAAAGGAAGAGGAGGCCUCCUUUUCGGCUUGGGCCAACUCAGAUGUGCCAGUAAAUAUGAAUUGGUUGGAUUUGACUUCUCAAUGAUACACAAUGAUUCUCUACCUGGACUAACACCACAGAGGAUGCCAUAGAAACUUCUGAGAUUUCGAUGAUAAAUAUAAAAAGUUGAAGCUUUGGGGAGCCCAAGCCAGGAAGCUGGAGAAGUCCUCAUCUCCUGAAGCUGCAAGAAGAGACAGAGCCCAGCCUGAUAAUCUGAGGACUGAACUUCAAAGGUCACCCAGCCAAAAUAAUCUACUCUGCCUGCCCAAGUGUGAAGCCUAGUGUGAAACCUACUCCAGAGGUGAAACCCCACCAAGAGAUGAAAACCACUUUGGGAAAUACCUUAUGUCUGAUAUUUUCUUCUUCAUUUUUUGAUAGGACUUUUUUUUUCCUGCUCAAAAGUGACUAUCUGGUAGUACAUUCCCAGAGGAUCCUGGCCAGGUAACAGAGAAGUCUGAAAGGCUACCUUGAGAUAAGGUACUAACAGCCUGUGGUAGCUUUAAUAGAAUAUUCUGGUUUAAAUAACAACCUUGAACAUCCAACUUAUUCAGAUUCAACAAACAUCUAUCGAGUAUUUACCCUCUGCAGAUAAGACAAGGCCAUGUAUUAGAUGUUUCCUCAUGUGUUAUAUCAUUUAGUGAUUACAACAAACAUCAAAGGUAGCAUCCCUACUUUACAAAGUAAAACACAGAUACUCAGAAAGGGUAAUUUAUUCACUGAAAGUCAAAGUGAGAUGAAUUCAAACAUAGGUCCUCUAACACCCAGGGCACAGACUGAUGAUGUUCAUGACCAGCUGAGUUUAUGAAAUCUCUUACGCUGUCUGUCCCUAAUCUGCCUAUACAUUAGCAAGGUGUAGAGAAGCACCAUGCUUCUGUCCAACAUAACAGGGUUAGAAGGUCACUUUUCUGCAUGUUUCUACAUUAUUUUCAAAACUGCCAUUCAUCUGCGUUUUCAAAUAAAUAUCAACAAAAUUA
rnacentral:lncRNA from 1 species